AUUUCUAGCGCAAGUUCUCAAGAGUGGUCGUAUUGCUUUUGAGAAGACGAGGAGAAGGUUGUCGAAUAGUCAGCGGAUGCCUUCCGGCCGGCCCGGUCGAUAGAGAUCUGUUAAAGCCCAGGUGUGAGCUUGGGGGAAGAGCGGAUG
rnacentral:ncRNA from 1 species